CCUACGGGAGGCAGCAGUGAGGAAUAUUGGUCAAUGGCCGUAAGGCUGAACCAGCCAAGUCGCGUGAAGGAAGAAGGAUCUAUGGUUUGUAAACUUCUUUUAUAGGGGAAUAAAGGUAUCCACGUGUGGCUAUUUGCAUGUACCCUAUGAAUAAGCAUCGGCUAACUCCGUGCCAGCAGCCGCGGUAAUACGGAGGAUGCGAGCGUUAUCCGGAUUUAUUGGGUUUAAAGGGUGCGUAGGUUGUUUUGUAAGUUAGCGGUGAAAGUUUGUGGCUCAACCAUAAAAUUGCCGUUGAAACUGGAAGACUUGAGUGUGUUUGAGGUAGGCGGAAUGCGUGGUGUAGCGGUGAAAUGCAUAGAUAUCACGCAGAACUCCGAUUGCGAAGGCAGCUUACUAAGCCAUAACUGACACUGAAGCACGAAAGCGUGGGGAUCAAACAGGAUUAGAUACCCGUGUAGUC
rnacentral:rRNA from 1 species